rnacentral:misc_RNA from 1 species
GGCAUAGGAUCAAAGUUUCUUUAGUUCAUGGAGUUUUAUGAUAUGACAAAAUAAUAAGAUUUACUUCGUUAAAAACAAAAUUCACAAGCAAAAGUGGCCCUUUUAAACCAUGUUUGCCAUUGUUGUUGCUAAAUGUGAAUAGCAACUUUUAGACAAACUCUUUGUUAGAAAAUUUCUUUGGUAGUGGUCAUAGACGAUAUAUUUUCACAAUU